AACGAACGCUGGCGGCAGGCUUAACACAUGCAAGUCGAACGGGUGUAGCAAUACAUCAGUGGCAGACGGGUGAGUAACACGUGGGAACCUUCCUAGGGGUACGGAACAACUCAGGGAAACUUGAGCUAAUACCGUAUACGUCCGUGAGGAGAAAGAUUUAUCGCCCUUAGACGGGCCCGCGUCGGAUUAGGUAGUUGGUGGGGUAACGGCCUACCAAGCCUACGAUCCGUAGCUGAUCUUAGAGGAUGAUCAGCCACACUGGGACUGAGACACGGCCCAGACUCCUACGAGAGGCAGCAGUGGGGAAUCUUGGACAAUGGGCGCAAGCCUGAUCCAGCCAUGCCGCGUGAGUGAAGAAGGCCUUAGAGUUGUAAAGCUCUUUUACCAGGGACGAUAAUGACGGUACCUGGAGAAUAAGCCCCGGCAAACUUCGUGCCAGCAGCCGCCGCGGUAA
rnacentral:rRNA from 1 species